ensembl:lncRNA
AAAGUGAAACAACACAUUUCAGGUUGCAGAGAAGCUCUUAGGUGUGACUGGGUAUUUCCAUUUGUGCCUUUGGGUAUUUCCAUUUGUGCCUUCAAAAAUGGACCAAGAAAAAGAGCAAUUAUCCAAAGCCCCAAUUAAACCAGGUAGCGUGUGGUUAUCUCUGGCUGAUGAAUACACAAAGCAUUUUAUGGGCAGAAGGGAUCUGGUGGAAGUGAGUAAAUCAACAUCUAAAAGCAAGCCAUAAGCAAGUCACUUAGUAACACGCUUUCGUUUAACGUUGCUUUAAAGGAAUGCCGUCAGACAGGACUCACAGUGGCAGCCUGCAGGUCGCAAUCUGCUCCCUGUUACUUCCAUGUUUAUUUUCGGCAACUUGGUUGACUUCAGGGGAACUGACUCGCACGUCUGUAAGUUGAGGGAGGCAAUAGCUCUUUUGCCGCAGUUCCUUGCCCUCUCUCAUGCCCGUUGAUGUAACCUUACACGGUGGCUUUGUCGAUAGUGACAAUCGCGUCGGGUCUCCCUCCCGUUUGCUCUCACUGCGGCUGCAGUUGUGCCGCUCCACCGCCAGGCGGCGCCCUCGCAGCGCAGCCCGGUUUCACAGCUCCGUCCCCCAUCCCCCGGACUGACGAUGGCCACAGCACGUCUUCAUAUUGAUAUGGCCAUUAAAUAUUAAGCAGAUGCAAUCAGUGGAGGUAGCAGCCUGCCAGCAGAGAGAGAUUCUGGCUGCUGCUGUGCGAAGGGGCUGGGCAGAGCGGCAGCUGAUGGAAGGUAUUAAGGAAGAGCAAAGUCCUUCAGGAAGAGCGCAGUGAGGACGCAGACAUCUUUCCCUUGAGAGAAGAUGAUUUUCUACUCUGGAACCCGUUCAGCUUUGUCACUGUGGCCUGGCAGACCCUGAGAGAAAAGAACGUGGGAGUUUUGACCAAAGCAUUCAUUUUGGUUCCUGGGAAAUGGUCCUGAAGCUUUUUUAUACAGUGAGAUUCCACAUAAGAAAAUAAAAUAAUAGCAAUUUUUAAAAUGUAGAUUCAGAGGGAAUUCCCUCUGUAGGAGAAAUUAGAAUCUGAAAGGCUGUAUUUGCUCAGCCUAAACAAGAGGGUUGGGCAAUGUGUGCCUUCUCAGAAAUAAACUCAAUUCCGGGACAUUCAGUGGAGAUUUCCAUGUCUUAAAGUUUCCCUCUGCUCUGUGGUGAUCUCAAUGACCAUCUUCCUUCCAGUGAUAAAACCAGACACGAUAAGGAGAUAUAAAUAUUCCACACUGCAAUUUCACACAUCCUAGUAACGUCAGCAGUGCCAGACUCUGCUGCUUCUCAGGUUGCUCUUUAAACUUCAGCUUUCUGCAGAAUUUGAUAGCAGACGUUUCUGAUGAAAUGACUCAAUCCUGUGUGACUCACUUUCAGUAUUUUUCCGUUUCCAGCUGGAAAAAACAAGCAGAACACAAAGAAAGAAGAAUUGACAUCUAAGGAAGCUGGUGUAUCAUAAGGUCUUUUCCUUCCACUGGGACAUUCACACAGUUAAAUACUGGGUUAUUAGUGCAGCAAGUCCAGCUUGAGUUGCAUGUUUGUUUUACUCGCUGUGAUAACUGUGUUUGGUAACAGCGGCCAGGAGAGCAAAAGGAAAUGUAUGUAACAACCUCUGUAAUGAGCACUGUGCCCCAAGCUGGAUAUUCUUUACUAAUGGAUUUAGAGAUCUGUUAGCAUGCACAAAUCAGGGAAGAGCUGGUUGUCCUGUGACUCAGACUUCACCUUUGCAGACAGGGAUUUCCAGGUUUGCACAGAGUCUAAAUGGUACUCGGCAGUUUCCAUCAGAUUCCUUUGACAAGGAAGGUACCUCGGUGCUGGAGCUGGAGCAGAGUGUGGGGAGUUAAAGCAAGGUUUGUGAGCAGCAAGACUUCGGCUGCCAAAUUAAGAGUGAGAAGAGAAUUUCUGAGCAGCUUAUGAAAAUUGACCUCUGGUCCUGCUAUGUUCUGCAGGACCACUGUACCAGCUAUUUCCAGUUGAAAGCAAGUAUCAUUUAUGCCCACUGUAGCAUUGAUUGCGUUCACUUCAGGAGAAGUUCAGUUUCCUGGAUUGCAUCGUAACCAGUGAUGGGAUGUGAUGUCACUACUACAAGCUAGAGUCAAAAUGGCAGAAUGGUGAGAUGUGAGUUCCCCAUCAAAGAAAAAGUUGAAGACACAGCCCUCGGCAGGUGAAGUGAUGUGCACUGUCUUUUGGGAUAGGAAAGGGGGGACCCUUUGGGAUUCCCUGGAGCCCAGAUAAACCAUCAGCUCUGACCACUACAUCAUGACAGGGCCUAAGCUGAAGGCCCAAACUUCCAGAGUCAGGCCAGAGAAGACAACCUUUCUCUUGCAACACAACACCAGGCCGCAUGCCAGUUUGAAGACCGUGAAGCACAAUGCCAAUCUCAGCUGGACCGUCCUAUCACAUCCACCAUAUAGUCCAGAUUUGGCACCUUCUGAUGGAUUAACUCUGUGCAGUAAGUUUGGCCUCGGGUCCUUCACAUCUGCCAAGGAAUUUGGAGUUUAUCCUAUCCACAGCCUUAGUAAUAAAGUCCACUGUGUUCAGUGUGCUUUCUUUGAAAAUUAUAACUGUGUAAGAGAAGCAGCUUGCAGAAAAUGCAUGUAAAGGAGUGAGUGUUUGCUGUGUUCGGUCUCUUACCACGUCAAGGCCAACUGCAGCACAGCGUGUAUCUUCUUACUGAAGGAUUCAGUAACAAAGCAGCUUUAUAUAUUGACUAAGAAGCCAGAUGAAGAGUGUUUUUCAGCUAUAAUUCUACUAUUGAUGCCUUGAGAAAUGUGUUUUCCCUUUGCCAGAACACUUGAUUUCUUUCUUGAAAAGGAGGUGAGUGGACCUGGGGUAAGUUAAGAGAGAAAAAGAUUUGAACAACACUGAUUAGCAAAGUGCUCACUUGACCAACUGUUGUAACUUCUAACUAAUAUCUAUAAGCAUACCAAACUUCACAUAGUCCGCAUCAGAAGAAGAGGUCUUUUCUUAAGUGUUUAGGAUGGAAUUCAUACAGCUAAAGCUUAAACACUGGAAGAUUUGCUCUACAUCAACACCUGCUGUUCUGCCCUUGCUGCAAGAAGGAAGCUGGAGCAAAUACACUUUUCAACUGUGACAUAUAAUCCAUGUGUGGAUUAAACUGUGCAUGCAACUACAGCUGAGAAUUCCAGAGAAUCCUCCUUCCUCCACUCUGACAGUGCAAAGGAUGACUCUUCAACAUUUCCCUUCUUGUUCUAAGAAAAUUGGACUGAUUGUCAAAAGUGAUUUUGGACAUCCUUCCAAUGUUCCCCACUGGGAAGCAGAGAUGAGUUACACAUGGAAAGGAGUUCCACGCAGUACUGUGAAUUCAUCUGCUUAUCAUCUUCAGCAUUCCCAUCAAACUUUAUCACCGUUCUCUAGCCAGGAUGGAUCUAUAUGAAACCAACAAUUAUGUGUUUGGAUUGUCCUGUUGGAUUGCUACGGUAAGGUGAAAUCCAGAGAGGAGGACUUGAAGAGCUGCAGUCCCUUACAUCAACAUCAAAAUGGAACCCAAGGACAACCACGCUGAACAUUCAGGUUCCUUAUAUCCUCUAUAUCCUGUAGUAGAGAAUGAAAAUGUUGUCCAGUGUAUGACACAGUUACUUUUUACUGAAAAAAAUUAAUCAAGGGAUUUAAAAACACAGACAGAGUAGGAAACUUCUGAGAACUUAGGAUUUCUGGAUGCUUUGAGAACUCCCAAACUGGCAGAAUUCAGUUCAUACAUAGCAUAGUCCUAACAAAGACACCAUUGAAAAUAUCAUCUCCAGCCACUGCUCUGUAGACACCAAACCCUUCGUGGUGUCUUCCCUUCUCAAGCUAAACAAGCCCAGCUCCCUCAACCUUUCUUUAUAGGAGAGAUGCUCCAACCCCCCCCCCGGUGUCUUUGUGACCCCCUCUGAACCUGUUCCAAAAGCUCAACGUCAUUUUCUUUAAGUAUUUGUUCAAUGCUGGUAUUUUUAUUCGUGAAAAUUCAGGCUGUUGAUUCCACCUUUAAGUGUUGUGUGGAAUGUGUGCUGUGAUCUCUUCCCUGUGGGAGCUACACAAGUUCUUUAUUAACAGUGGGAGUUCCCUGCAGUCCAAAAUGGG